rnacentral:rRNA from 1 species
UAAUACGGAGGGGGCUAGCGUUGUUCGGAAUCACUGGGCGUAAAGCGUAUGUAGGCGGAUCAAAAAGUUAGAUGUGAAAUCCCUGGGCUCAACCCAGGAACUGCAUUUAAAACUAGUGAUCUAGAAUUUGGUAGAGGUUAGUAGAAUUUCCAGUGUAGAGGUGAAAUUCGUAGAUAUUGGAAAGAAUACCGGUGGCGAAGGCGACUAACUGGGCCAUUUUUGACGCUGAGAUACGAAAGCGUGGGUAGCAAACAGGAUUAGAUACCCUGGUAGUCCACGCAGUAAACGAUGAGUGCUAGUCGCUGGGUCAAUAGAUUCGGUGUCGAAGCUAACGCAUUAAGCACUCCGCCUGGGAAGUACGGUCGCAAGAUUA